AUUGAACGCUGGCGGCAGGCCUAACACAUGCAAGUCGAACGGAGUGGCGGACGGGUGAGUAAUGUCUGGGAAACUGCCUGAUGGAGGGGGAUAACUACUGGAAAAGGUAGCUAAUACCGCAUACUAACAGAUGAGCCUAGGUCGGAUUAGCUAGUUGGUGGGGUAAAGGCCUACCAAGGCGACGAUCCGUAACUGGUCUGAGAGGAUGAUCAGUCACACUGGAACGAAGACACGGUCCAGACUCCUCCGGGAGGCAGCAGUGGGGAGUAUUGGACAAUGGGCGAAAGCCUGAUCCAGCCAUGCCGCGUGUGUGAAGAAGGUCUUCGGAUUGUAAAGCACUUUAAUUUGGGAGACGUUACCAACAGAAUAAGCACCGGCUAACUGCGUGCCAGCAGCCGCGGGAAUAC
rnacentral:rRNA from 1 species